CAAACUCCGAAUACCGCAGAAUGUCAUCACGGGAGACACACGGCGGGUGCUAACGUCCGUCGUGAAAAGGGAAACAACCCAGACCGUCAGCUAAGGUCCCAAAGUUAUGGUUAAGUGGGAAACGAUGUGGGAAGGCAUAGACAGCUAGGAGGUUGGCUUAGAAGCAGCCAUCCUUUAAAGAAAGCGUAAUAGCUCACUAGUCGAGUCGGCCUGCGCGGAAGAUGUAACGGGGCUAAAACUAUAUGCCGAAGCUGCGG
rnacentral:rRNA from 1 species